rnacentral:rRNA from 1 species
AGUGAACGCUGGCGGUAGGCCUAACACAUGCAAGUCGAACGGCAGCACAGUAAGAGCUUGCUCUUACGGGUGGCGAGUGGCGGACGGGUGAGGAAUACAUCGGAAUCUACUUUUUCGUGGGGGAUAACGUAGGGAAACUUACGCUAAUACCGCAUACGACCUACGGGUGAAAGCAGGGGAUCUUCGGACCUUGCGCGAUUGAAUGAGCCGAUGUCGGAUUAGCUAGUUGGCGGGGUAAAGGCCCACCAAGGCGACGAUCCGUAGCUGGUCUGAGAGGAGGAGCGGCCACACUGGAACUGAGACACGGUCCAGACUCCUCCGGGAGGCAGCAGUCGGGAAUCGUCCGCAAUGGGCGAAAGCCUGAAGGAGCAACGCCGCGUGAGUGAUGAAGGUCUUCGGAUCGUAAAACUCUGUUAUUAGAGAAGAACAAAUGUGUAAGUAACUAUGCGCGUCUUGACGGUACCUAAUCAGAAAGCCACGGCUAACUACGUG